CUUUGAGCAACUGUUUACACUUAUAACCAGGGAUAUACUAGCGGUUUACUUUUUCUCUCUUUAUUUAUUCAUUUAUAUUUUUCUUUUAGAAAAGGCAUUCCGUUUAUUUCAUUGUACUAUCCAAUAAGUAAAAUACUUGUGCUCACUCAGAUGGGAACAUGUUGGGAUUAAAUGGGUUAAACGACGGAUUACAAGACCCCGGACAUCUCAUUUACAAAUAUUUAUGAAAAACUGUUUAAACGCCUUUGAAUAUUUCACAAGUAGACAUUUAUACUAAAUGGUAUUUAAAAUAUUUUAUUAAUACUACAUAAAUCGAGAAUGCAACAGGUAACGUUAGUAUGUCUUAUUCAUUUUCAGGGAUCAGCAAAUGAGCAAAUAUAAUUCCUAACACCCUCGUCCUUGUAAGAAAAAAGAAUAAUAUUAAACAUCAAGGAUGCUAUCAAACCACGUUUUUAUUUACUUUAACGUUACUUUUAUUUAACUGCGACGUUUCUUUUUCUGAGAACAACCAUAACAAACUUCUCAAGUCGAAGCUUGUUUACCUCAGAUUUGUCGUCGGUUUGAAAACGGACUCGUCGAGCUGUUCAUCUGCAGAACGGGUCGAGCACGACGGGCCCGUGAAUUAAAAAAAAGCCCACAGCCACCACCCUUAUAUAUCCAAUGUGAAUAAGAGUAAACCGUGUGUUAUUUUGUGCUGAUAUUAGAUAGGUCAGCGGCUGCUGUCUGGCUCUUGUGUAACGGUCGGUGCGCGCGCUCUCGUGUGUGUGUGUGUGUGUGUGUGUGUGUGAAUGAAUCAUAGUUCACCUUAGUUGAACUUGUGUGAUCUAGUUCACGGUAGCGUGAGGCUGUUGGUCCGGUCCGGUGGCUGUUGGGAGGAUGAACAUCUCUUCUUGAUCAUUACAAACAACCAAACUAACGUUACCCUUAAAAGACGCAGUGUGUCGUCAUGUUUUUUGUGUAACUUAGAUGAGAAGGUUUUGAUAGUUUGCUCGCAGACAGACUGUAUUAACGGUCGCGUGUUAACCUCGUUAAAGUGUCCGUAAGACAGAAAAUUUCAGCCUGAACUUGAAUAAUAAAAACGGUCGUCGUGGUUUAACUUACCCAACGACUCCCGUCAAGUUUCUUUUGUUUGUUUGUUUUGCCGUUGGCCGUUUCUAACGACAGCUAAAGGAGCACGAAUGAUCCAGAUGAAGCUACGAAGCGGAUGAAACGUAAAUAAUUGGGGCUUGAAAUGGCGAAAAUCUCUUUCGGACUCAACCCAGAGAUGGAACAUACGUCCACCUUUUAUCUGGUUCGGUGACUUUGGAUGACACUGACAGAUAUGUGUGUUGCAGGACCACGCAGACCUUUACUGUACUGUUGCACAGCUGCCCCACCCUUACAAAAUUAUGCAGUCGUAUCCCGAUGGAUCCGAAACGCUGACGCUAAUCCUUACUGAUUUCAUCUGGAAUUAUUGAGCUCUUAUUGGACACAAAAUCAUUUUUACCUUGUGUGAUAUUGUUGCUUCAGUGUUGCUUCAAAUGAUGAGGCUGACCUCAGAUUUCACCUCUGUAAUUGAGGAGUCCUGUAGACACGUGCCCACGGGGGCCCAGGAGAGACCACCACCGCUGCAAGCUCACUGCUACCUCUGCGCCGGAGGAAAAGGGUGUCUGAAAAUGACGUUUCCUAUGAGUCCCAAGCAAAAAUAAAUGUUUGGCCCGAUCAGAUCUUGCUAUGGUUUUCUGAUCAUUUCCCAGCUGUGUUGUUUUCUGUCAUGUUGUGUAAAAUGUGGCUUAAUUGGCUUAAAUAUCUUCUACACAUACACUGUGCCUUCACAAAUCCACUAGGUCAUGUGUAUGUGGGCUUGUUUUAUUGAACAUUAAUUUUUCUCUAUAUAUAUGUAAACUCUAGAUCUUUUGCGAAAGAUUUAGACACUGAUGGACAUUUCAGAUCUUAAACAUGUUGCUUUUUCUGUGGAACUCCAACUCUCAUUUGAUGAACUAGGCCACCAACUAGGAUUGAAAUGCUUCUCACUUCUUUAAUCUGUGCCUUGUUGUGUUUUAAUUAAUUUUUUGCUUCAUGGGAGUGUUAUGGUUAUAUUGAGACACUGUUGUUUUUGUCUGUUUGUUUGGUUUUUUCUCUUCACGGAUGAAAAGUUGCAGGUUAAAGAAGCUCAUGUUAUUAGUUUUUACUCAUUGCCCUCUCCACAAAAGCAUAAUUAUGGGUUGAAAAUUGCAGCUCAGUGAUGUGCAUGUGCAACACAUGGCUGCAAAUUCCUUAGGAUGCUUUUUUAAGUUGUUCUAGUUGAUUAUGCUGGAAACCCUGAUGUUAAUUUGGGAGGAAAAGAAAAUAUACUCUAAAGGUCCUACAGACAGUUAUUAGGAUCUGAGAUCCUGCGAAUGGCUUGUUAAUGUUCGUUUAAUUAAUUAUUUUAGUUUGUGCUUUUGACAUCCUCUUCAAUUGUAUGUUUAGAUCUGAUUGGAUUAAUGUGCAUUUUAGUAUUUAGUAAGGCAUUUUUUGACACGAAUUAAUGUUAGGAGACCAUUUUGUUCUCUUUGCUUCAGUUUUGAUAUUCGACCGAUGUAAUGUCAACAAAAGACAGGCUAACGUUUUUUGUUAUAUAUCUAUAAAUCACGUUGGAUGCACUUAUUAAAUGUGGAAAAAGUGACCAACCUGCUGUGCUUUUUAACCUCGUGAAGACUCACUAUAGCCGUUAUCGCUCUUUGGUAACUUUAACCCCAGAACACAUACACGCUUUUUAAAUCACACGAGAGUCUUUUUAAAAUGAUCUCAGCGAUGGUGCAUUAAAGUGCUCUGAGGUUGAGCCCUGAAAAGUACCAUAAAGAGUUUGUUUUGAUUGGCGUUUGAUCAUAGUCUCUGAGCCUUGUGAAGGUUGUGAAGGAUGGGGCCUUACAGAACAGCUCACUGUUUGGGAGUUGGCAGCCGACCCAAAACCAAAAUUGUAUCCUCAAAUGAACUUUAAUGCAAUGUACAACACAACACGUGCGCCAAGUCCCGACUCCCUGCUCGCAGGUCCUAUAGUAAACAAGCAAGAAAAUGAACGCCUGAGAAUCAGCAGCAGAGAAUGAGAAAUAAAACAGAUAAUGUUUUAUAAGAAAAUGAGAAGCACAAUUUUUCUUGUGUGAGGUGCGCCACCUUCGUGAUUGGCCGACAGACGUGGCGCAAUGUGACGUAGGCGCGUCAUACCUUGUGCCAGAGCGUGACCUGUUGCCAUUAGGGAAUCAGACUCAAAAAAAAAGGGGGUGAGCACUUGGAAUUUGAUUUAGCUGUAACGGUUUUAUACGGGUGCGACUCGGCCCAGAUUUGGUGUUGAAUCGAGGGUGGGGUGUGUGGUAUGUAGAAACUAAGUAUGUGUGUGUGAGAGUGUGUAUGUGUGUGUGUGUGUGUGUAAUGAGAGGUCAGUUCCAUGAGGGAGCCAGAAAGAGGAGGCCGAGAACGAGGCAAGGAAAUCUGGGCGGACCGGGUGCUUUCGGUCCCUCCUCCACAUCAAUGUGUGUGUGUGUGGAUCUGCGUGUGACAGCCUGAUGAGCAGCAGCACCCUCUAUACAGCCAUGUUCUCUGGUCGACGAGCAUGCUUUUAUCAACUCUUUAGUUCGCUAAACGCAGAAUAGGUUCGUAAUACAGUUCGAGGAACAGAAGCAGGCGCAGGCUCCACACUGGCAUGUUUUGGUAUGUGUUUUUGCAUUCUCGUUGGGCUUGUUCGCAGUAGACAGAUCAACUGUUUGAACUUGUAUUUAAUCGCCGCAUUGAUUAAUAACAAAAAAAGUUUUGCACUCGACGGUACUGGCAUGUUUACAAGAGUGUGCAAUAGCCGUAAAAAUGGCAUAAAAUGGAUUGUUGGUAAAAUACAGCACAGAAUAAUGAAAUCUUGAAUAAUUUUUUUGCAUCGGACUGCCUCACAAGUUAUUGAAUUCUGGUUCAAAAGGGAGGCGUAACAUAGGUGCACCCACGAAAGAUCGAAAAACAUGAUUGGCGGCAUGCUCCACUAAUUAUUCCUGCACCAGGCGGAUUCUCAGGUAGGCCGUGGUUGCAGAGUGUGUGUACAUGAGCGUGUGUGUGCGGUCACUGCAGAUGAAAUCUCCCUGCAAAUUGCGACAGAUGUUUCACCUCCAGACCGUCUCACCCAUGCGCCUGACACGUCUUGGGACAGUGGGAUGUACAAAGACACCCCAACAUUUGCACGCUCCACUUUUCCCAGAACCCUCCAUCAUGAUAUGGUCAUCUUUGAACUGCUGACUCUUUUAACCUUUUCUCGUUUGUGAUUGCUUGUAUAGCUAUUCAGUACUUUCGAGCCAGAGGACAGCUUCAAGGAUCGAGUUUGGUCUUGGCGGCGGAGCGCCUGCGCAUUUGGUAAAUUGUGUUUGAAUGGUUCGUAACGGGUGUGAGCGUAUGUUUGUGUGCACUCUCCGGGUGAACCGGAGUCUGUGUCAUGCUUCCCUCCUCUCUUCAGCUCUCCCUCCCUCCCUCGCUCACUGGCUGGAACGGUGGAUUAAAAAAAAAAAAAGAUUGCUCACGUACUCCACUGCCUCUCGGUUUCAUCAUCAACUUUUUUCCCUCCACUUCAGUUUUCCCUCUCUCCUCUCCUCUAAUUCCCUCCCUUUCUCUCUCUCUCUCUUUCUCUCUCUCUCUCUCUCUGUGCAGAUAGAAAUGAAAAAAAGCCUCUACCGCUGUUUCCACAGUUCAGUCUCCUCCCCUUCACCCAGUCUGUGCCAAGAGAAGGAGGGAUUUCUACUACUCACAGGAUUUUAACCCUGUAGCACAACCGAUUGGCUCAAGCUGCUUCUCUGCCACUUCAGUUUUUCCAGCGCGUCUUUUCCACCACUUCCCUAAACCUCGUCGGCGUGUUCUUCUGCAUUUUCAUCACCUCGAGACGCUUUCAGUCCAGAGCAUUUACGGCAGCCGGAGGUGUGUGGCAUUUCUCAUCCUCACCAGGGGUUAACGGAUCCUUUCCGUUGCUGAGCUUUGAAAAUGGCUGUAUUCUCCCUGCUUGUUGCUUGUCUCGGAGAAGGGAGGCGCCUGGAGUUCUAUCACUUUAGCGCCACCCUUUCUCUCUCUCUCUCUUUUGCCCUCCCUCUCUCAUACACACACAUACAGUUCUUCUUUCUCUCUCUCUCGCUCUUUCCCUGUCUCUGAAAGGAGAGCGGGAGGGCGGUGCGGUGUCGGAGCUUUUUCUGGGACAGGUGCCAAUUCCAAACAAAAGACAUAAAAAGGCAAUGAGUGAAAGCUGCCUCGAUCGUAAGAAAGAAAUAUGUUGCACGAUGAAACGCAAGAAGUUUGUGGCGACCGUGUGCAUGUGCGGUUGUGCGCGUUCGACUGAAUAGAAAUGUUUGAAGCUAAGAUUUGAAAUACUUUUCUUCUCUAUCUCUCUCACAACACUCUCUCACUCCUCUGGUGCUCUUGAGCCACUGAAGGCUUUUCAGUCAUGGGGGGGGAGGAGGGGAGGAGGCUUGGUUUUCAAGCUCCUGAAUUAUUCAUACGCCUGGGCCAACGCUGCGAUCGGACUGGCUGGGACAUUAACAUGCAGUGGACAUUCUAUUUGUCUGUUUGCUAACAUUCCUCAUUCAAAGACUUGUUAACUGCAAGACGGGCCGACACACGCGUCUCUCGGGUUGCUAUUGUGGCCAAAACCCGGUCGUCCUAGACCAGGGGACCGCAGGCUGACUUGUAGCCCGGCGCUGGGGACAUGCAGCUGGGGUGGGAGGAUUGGCUUGGCCCCCUGGCCUACCUCCUUCAGUCCUUGUGCCUGCUGUGGAAAGCUCACUGCUUCUUCUUCUCCUUCUCCUUCUCUCUCUGUCUCUCUCACUCUCACUCU